rnacentral:lncRNA from 1 species
AUGUUCAUCUUUUGUAUAUGAUGACUAGUAAUGUAAAGAAAAGAAUGUAAUGUAUAUUUUGUGGUAAAUGUGAUGUAAGAAAGAAAUGAUGAAGUGACGUGUAGGGAAUUCGAAAAUGAACAAGAUGAAUGCAAUGUAUAUGAUCAAAAAUGAAUCAUAGUACAAAUGAAUGUUUAGUUUUCCUUUCUUUCACUAAUGGCUAUUGCUUACUCUCGUGUAAGCCGUUUGUGUAU